rnacentral:tRNA from 1 species
GCCCCUGUAGUUUAGCGGAUAGAACGCAGGCUUGCGGAGCCUGUGACCCGAGUUCAAAUCUCGGCAGGGGCG